UGGGGAAUUUUGGACAAUGGGGGAAACCCUGAUCCAGCCAUCCCGCGUGUGUGAUGAAGGCCUUCGGGUUGUAAAGCACUUUUGGCAGGAAAGAAACGUCGCGGGUUAAUACCCCGCGAAACUGACGGUACCUGCAGAAUAAGCACCGGCUAACUACGUGCCAGCAGCCGCGGUAAUACGUAGGGUGCAAGCGUUAAUCGGAAUUACUGGGCGUAAAGCGUGCGCAGGCGGUUCGGAAAGAAAGAUGUGAAAUCCCAGAGCUUAACUUUGGAACUGCAUUUUUAACUACCGGGCUAGAGUGUGUCAGAGGGAGGUGGAAUUCCGCGUGUAGCAGUGAAAUGCGUAGAUAUGCGGAGGAACACCGAUGGCGAAGGCAGCCUCCUGGGAUAACACUGACGCUCAUGCACGAAAGCGUGGGGAGCAAACAGGAUUAGAUACCCUGGUAGUCCACGCCCUAAACGAUGUCAACUAGCUGUUGGGGCCUUCGGGCCUUGGUAGCGCAGCUAACGCGUGAAGUUGACCGCCUGGGGAGUACGGUCGCAAGAUUAAAACUCAAAGGAAUG
rnacentral:rRNA from 1 species